AAUACAUGUUUGUAAUUGUUCCUGAUUUGCACACAUCUACUAUGCUUUCUUGAUAAAAUUUAUGUUUUGCUACCAACUAAUCAUUGUUAGGAGACUUGUUCUUUUUGAUAUUUGAGAAUAUAGUUAACCACUCCUACUGUCUGCUUUACUUUGGAAAUCUUUUUAUAAGUGAAUUUGUGUUUCAUUCCAUAGAACUAAACUAACACAUUCUCCUUCCUAUACUUCAAAUGAAAAUUGGAUGUUUUCACACGUUAAUGCACUGUGUUUGUGGUGGUGAGAUUUUUCUGUUAGACACAAAGUUAGCUUAGACAUGAAAUGUUUGGGAUAUCUUAUUAGUUGCAUAGGGAUUGAUUAUGGGAUUUCAUAGUGGGAAUACUCUUUUGAACUGUUGGGUGCAGCUCACUCUGUUUCGACCGAUGUCAAAAGUGCUGGUGUUAUAAGAGCUGCAUCAGGACUUGUAAAAACAGUCCUUGCCAAGUACGAGCCUUUCACCAACGGACUUUACACCAAGUACGAGCCAAUGACUGAGCAAAAUGCAACAUCAACUUGGUUCUCUCAAAACCAAAUUGCCAUUUUUCCUAGGGGUGUCGUUCUUUUUGCUAAAGUUCAUACUCUUUCUUCUUUUCCUCUUCUAAAUCGUGCUGCUUAGUUGUUCUAUAAUCUAACCUUUGCAAAAUCAAAGACUAAGGUCUUUCUAUUUAUGCAGCACCCAGAUGAUAGGAUAUCUUUGCCGCAAGAUGUUGUCCUUCGCAUUCAACCCCGAAUUUUUAGGGGCUGCACCUGAGAACAAGGACAAUGUUAUGAUUGCAAAACUUUUACUGUUCUCAAAUCAAAUCGGAUGCCUCUUGGAUAAAGGUGGCAAUAUACUAGAUGAAAUGAGCGAGUCAACUGCAACCUAUAUUCGUAUUGUAGGCAAGGAUCAAACCCCAAAGUUCGUGUCAGAAAAUGAAGUAAAAGUUUAGAGAUUGGGUGAAGGUCGGAGCUUCCCAGACUAUGCAGGAGGUCCUUCAAGUAUUGGUGAAUUUCGAGGACGAAGUCAUCCAGCUGUGACCACAAGCACUACUGUGGAAGUAGUUGUACCUCGAUCUGUCCUUCCUGCAAUCCAUGGAGAAGGCGGAGGAUGUUUUCGACAAAUAUGUAAGGCCUGGAGCAACAGAGACUAUUAUCAUUAUAUUUAGGACGCCUGAGUGGACUAUUGCUGCUCAAAGUCUCAUUUAAACCUUUGUAAUGGUCAAGACUGAAGCUGCUUGAUUAGUAGAGGUGAGGUAUUAUGUCGAUCUUGUAUACUUUUAAAUUGAAUGGCCUUUCUUUUCAGAAGCUAUGUGAAUGGAGAAUUGUUAGUUAUGCUCCCUGGAGAGCAGUGUAGAUGCUCCUUUUUUUAUACUUGUAUCGAUGUGAAUUCGAAAAACAUUGUUAACUUAUUCCAGAAGACUUAUCGUUAUGGUGUUCUGCACAUUGCUGAAGCUUUAGUUUGCGGUGACAGCUCUUGACAAAAGAAGAAUGGAAAAAAUGCAUGUUAGAGUAUCAGAAGUAUUACUAGUUGGCUAACAAAUUCAGAUGCUCUCCAAAUGUUAA